rnacentral:lncRNA from 1 species
UUCCAUUUUUAAGUAAGAUAAAAAUGUAUUUUAGGUUGUGCCUUGCCUGAAAGAUACCCUGCAUAUCAAUCCUAAAGUACUCUCUUUAUUUUUCAGUUUCUAUGUUAGUUGAGUAAGGAUGCUGACCUACUGAUCGGAUCUCCAGCCCAGGACUAUGGUUUUCCAAUAGUUAGAGGUCAUUGAUCCUGAAGGAAAAUUUUUUGCCUAAGAAUUGGAGCUGCCUGAUCUCUACAUAUUGCAAAUGGUCUGACCUUUUCAUUCAAUAGUCACUAGGAUUGGUUACAAACAGGGCAGAAGUGCAGCUGAAGUCUGGAGGCAGCAAACAGUUAUGGAAAAUCUGUGAAGUCAUGUUGUCCUUGCAACAUUUUCCGGCCU